rnacentral:rRNA from 1 species
GACGUAGGAGGCGAGCGUUAUCCGGAUUCACGGGGCGUAAAGAGCGUGUAGGCGGCCAGGUAGGUCAGCUGUGAAAACUCGAGGCUCAACCUCGAGAUGUCGGCUGAAACCAUCUGGCUAGAGUCCGGAAGAGGAGAAUGGAAUUCCCGGUGUAGCGGUGAAAUGCGCAGAUAUCGGGAAGAACACCCGUGGCGAAGGCGGUUCUCUGGGACGGUACUGACGCUGAGACGCGAAAGCGUGGGGAGCGAACAGG